AAUAUAUAUAUUAAAGAGUUUGUGUGUUUUAAAGAGGUUUUAAGUUGUGUCAGCCCAAAUCCUGCAAAUUCAAGGACCAACAAAGGCAGCAAACUCAUACAUUUAGAAGCUACAACCAGCAAAUACAGCAAGUUUCAUCUCAAAAAGGGAGGACAAUUAAUCGGUUAUGACUUAAAUAAAUCAUUGACAUGCUUUGCAUUUAAUUGACUAAUGGACUUAUUGUCUUAUUGUAGUUCUAUGUGCCGUUUUUAACUUAAAGUAUCUGCCCCUCUGGGGAUCUCUGCGCAGGCCUUUUUAUCUUUGCAUUAAAACAUUGCAAUUUAACUUCAUCAUCUGAGCAAGUUAACAACUUUGAUUUAUUCACAAGAGUUUCUUAACUUUGAAACGUCCUUAUUCAAACCCUCUACUUUUUUAUAUACAAGCCAGACUGACCCCUAAUUUCUAACAAUCGCUGGUUCUACAUAAAUUCAAGUUGAUAAAUUUGCCAAAUUUCUAAACUCUCCACAGAAAAUCUUUUAUGAAAUAACCUUUAACAUUUUGUAAAGUGCCCGUGAUAAAUAUCAUUCAAACAGGACCUUGCCUUUGUUUUGGUAAGUGUGUCUGUUCACUUUUAAUAGUGCGAGCAGGCGGCACAACAGUUUCCUGUGUUUUAGAGCCACCAGUACAGGACCUUCUCCAUCUACUCAGCUGCUAUUAUUCUGUCAAGAGCUGCUGUGUUUUCCCGAGAAAAGGAAGUUAUUUCAUUUCCACCUUUUGUCUGUUUCUGAAUGCGAGCGUCGCUCUUUCAGCAAUAUUCACUUGUUUCAACUCCCCUCUCCAUCCUAACCAAAAUAUACAACCCUUCUUUGCCCUAUAACUCUCGUUGGUCACAGAAAAAUAGGAAUUUCCUCAAUUGGUGUAAUUCUCCACACCAGAUUUCAGCAGUUUUUUCUCCUAGCUUCAGCAGAUUUCUGUCUCUCCACCGUCUCCACAGACUGACGGAUUGUGGAGUGAUUGUAAAAAGAAUUGGAGAAAAAUAGAGAACAGACUAUCUCUUAAAUGUAACCAUAUAAACCAUAUAAAAAGCAUUGUUUCCUGUAUGAAAAGGUCAAUCUCAUGUCAAAAUCAUCUCUCAAGAAUGCUUAUGAAACAGAGAUGGUUCCCAGAUGAUAAAAAUACCUGUUGAUUGUUAUAUUUGGUCGUAGUUGGCUUUUUGCUUCCCUGUCUUUCGUGAGACAAACAGAGGCUCAAACUUCAGCACAAGUUUGGGGGAACAGCUUCUUUUCAAACUUAAAAAACUAUACAACCAAAGCAGUGUGGUCUGGACUUGAGGGGCUGGUGCAGAAUUAAAGUAUUAUUAGUAGGAUGAAACAGCAGGUAGAGUGUAGGCGGAAUAUUCAUAGCCAAUCAUGUCAGCUCCCUUCAUCUGCUGCAAAAGCUGUGUCCUGAAAUGAUGAACAAUUUCCUUCAGGGUUGGAAGCAAUGUCUAAGAUAGAAACUAUCUUUGAUAUAAUGAUGCAGAGUUACAAGGAACAACUGCAGUAUGUAUAUCAUGUAGUUAUGAGUAACAAAGAGUAUACUACCAUGAGCGUGGGGAAGUUCCUUUAACAAUAGUGGCAAUUUCUUUUUUAGAGGAAAACAGCAAAGCUUUGGUGAGGGAUUUUAUGAUUUGCUAAAAUCUCCUAGUAAAAUUUAAACAGUUCAUCUGUGAGGUUGAAUAAUAACUGCAUUUUGCUUACAUAUUCAGUCACACAGCAACUAGCAAUAACCGAGUCAAGCUCACAGAGAGGUUCUAAAGGUCGCUGAUUAUGUACCGUAUAUACUCUGGCGUGAUCUUUUAGCUGUUUCUUAGCCUCGGCAUCCACAGCUCUAAGAGCGCUGAUUGGCCCUUGAGGGAUUAUUUUGGAGAACCUUUGACCCCCCCUUGAAGGCCAUCCUACUAAAACUAGGAAUGUCUUGAACCAGGCCAGGGCAGAUGAUGUGAAACCUGUCUUUGAGGAGCAGAGACAUGAGCUGGCAAGCUCUGCAGACUGAAAUGAUUCAGCUUCAAAUUUGCACAAAGUGAGAGAAUAAGCACACAGCACCAGAAUGCCUUUCAUUUGGUCUGGAUCUGAUCAGACAGGUGGCUCACAGGCAACACUUGCUAUCACCAAUUGUUAUCUGCAAGUGAAGAGUACCUCCGAGUACACAACGUGUCUUCUCCCAGCAGCCUUAUGCCAGCUAUUUAACUGGCACAGAGCUGCAUCUUGCACCAAUUACCUGCAAACUAGCUGCUCAUGCUCUACAGACUCACAGUCUAAAAGUCAUGCUUGGCUUUCAUAUCUCAUUUCUACUUUGAUUGUUGCUUUAUGAACUAAAGCUUCACCAACACACAAACACUUGAACUGAGACAUCAGCCCCAAAAAUAGACUAAGGCCCUUCAAAAACAGUGUGCUAAAUAUACUAUCAAAAUAUCUCCUCUGCUUACCAGGUGGUAUCUACAGCACCACCUCCAUUUUUUUUGUUGGAUUUUUGUUUUUUAUAAAGUGAUGUCAUGUGAAUUUGCGGUCCCUUAAGUCGGUGUCUUCCAUGAUGUUGUCUUGCCUGCAGUCAGCCACCCAUUAAGCAACUCACCACAAGUAUUCAGUUAACUUCUUUGAUUUGGUUUUAUCCACAACUGUGGUGACUUGCACACACCAAAAUAGUGCUCUGCAGAUUUUGGGGUUAUGGCUACCCACUGGCAUCAGUCUGACUGGCUGCAAGGACAUAGCUUGUAGUCCGUAGCUCAAACUUGAAGUCCUUCUGGGAUAUCUAAAUCCUGUUAGACACAAAGUACAUUGACUUGAGCCAUUAAAUGAGCCGUUUCAGAGUUUCUUGAGGAGAAAUGUGCCAUUCGAAAGCACACUGUGGUUAUUUUUCUCCAUCAUGUUGGCAGCAGUAGCACCAAGAUGCCCCAGCUGCUUAGGAUGACAUGAUUUUAACAAAAAAAAACAAAAAAAAAAAAUCAUCAUUUUUGGACCUUAAUCCCAGAAUUUUAACAACUGACAGUAUAUAACUGAGAUGUAACCAGGACAGGUAGUGAGUUUUUUUGUUUGAAAAUUGGGCGCAAAGACCAACACCAGAUGGUGUGUUCAUCGAAAUUGGUGUGAAAAGAGUUUAUACAGAUUUGUGCAUUCAGCCAUCUUUCUCAUUGUAUAAUAUCUCAAAAUAACUAAAAUGUUGGUUUGAUAUUCUAAUUAAUUCAAAUUGAGCCAAUCUACAAAUACAAUACCAAAUAGUUAUGCUAAACAGAGCCGCAGGAGGCUUUUGAGCAGUUACAGAAAAAAAGAGACUUUAAAUCUUACCAUCAUUCUUCCUUUUCCAUUUGUUUGAUUGUUAUCCUAUCCUUUGACUGCAUAAAAUAGCAGCUAGCAGCAGAUACCACACACAAGACAUUACACUGAAGCUAAGACAGUUUUUAAACCGAAACAAGACCAAAUGUUUUGAAAAAUAGUGAGCAGUUUAGCAGUGAAUAGGCAAACAGAAACAUCCCGGUGGAAAACUAAAGCAAUCGAUAUAUGUUUUAGAGUCUUAAGGAAAACUUCAGCUCAUUUUAUAAACCAGCAGUGAAUCAUUGGCAAAACAUUGCUUCAGAACAACUCAGAGCUCUCCGGUAUGAACUGUAGCGCACGUUUUGGAAAUCUAUACAAGUGAACGCUGGCUGGGUGGUUUUUAUUUUUCCCUGUUGAUAUCAUUACUGAUCAUACUAAACAUUUCUGUGUUUCCCUGUCUACACCACGGGCAAAAAAUGUGAAAUUUAUUGUGCCAGUAUCUCUGAACACUUACAGCUUAUUCUGUCCCAGCGAAAGCUCCUUGUUUGCUGACAAUAUGUAAGAUAAAUCUGUUUUGUUAUCAUGUUGCUUUUUGCAGGAAGUGUGUAAUGACAAGAUGAAUGUAUUUGGAUCAGAGGAAAGGAGAGGGAUGUUUUUUCAAUCCAACAUAGGUUGGAUGUCAGAGAUAAUAGAAAAGAUUGGUGUAUAGGUCUGAGUUUUGAAGCAUACCUGUGUUAAUCCUGCUCUAGAUUGCUGUGCUGAGACUGCUUGUAUUUACAUAUGCAGAGGAUCCCGCUGUUUUGAGCACACCAUUGACAAGACAGAGCAAUUAAUCAUCCCCAAAUACUCCCGCCGAGCAACAGACGACCCUCGCAGAACAAGCUGCCAUGAAGGGUGUGCAGGUGUGAAUCAAGCUGCAAGAGAAAUAUUCAGAGCCAGCCCUUUUCUGAGUCCUCUCUGUUUGUCAAGACCAUCUCUAUAUUCAAGUAAAAGAUGUGGAUAAUGUUUGCUCCUUCAAUGUUGUUGUUUUUUUUUUCAAGAAAAAAAGAAAUACACUUUCUAGCGCUAACCGAGUUUGAAUUUCAUAGAAACUAAAUGCAAAUAAGUGUAAUGCUAUCUGCUUCUUACAAGGUAAUGUCAGGCCCCAUAGAGACGGUAUUCAAAUGUUUAUUAGAGGCCCCACUGUAUUCCUCAGUGUCAUUAUUCUCCUCCAAUGAAUGAUUGCUGGUUUGGUAGCCUGAACAUAACUAACAAGUCCUGGACUUUUGCGUGUGCAUCAGGCCUGGUGAAAAAUGUGAUCAUUUGUGUUACUCAGAUAUGAGCGGAGGGAGGAUUUGGCUCAGUAGCAGGUUUCAGCCGUCAAGCCCCUUGGGACAGUUACACCAAGAAGGCUCAUUUUUGUGACCCAUAUCUGGCUUCCCAUAACCAAAAUAAAAGUCUUGUUAUGUUAUGAAAUGUUGCCAGGAAGUCUUCAACUUUGACACAACUGGUAAAAAUCACUGUCCACUUCUUGGAGUCCUUUAAGCGGAAACUGCUCUGACGAAGUAUUUUCAAUGUACUUCAUCUGACCAGGGCAAUAAAGAGCUUUCAAGGUUUAUAAGAUAAUCAAAGGAGAAGGCCAUGGUGAGCCUUCAAAGACAUGUCUCAACUAUCUUAUAAAAGUCUCUCUUGCAGGUACAUAAGUUCUAUUGUCUGUUCAAAUAAUGAAGUUUUGCAAAUGCUUUAUGUAAUUACACAUUAGCAUCUAAAAGAAAAAUCAAGAUCAUCCAGAAAAAGUGAAGCAGUUUAAAGAAUAUCUGAAAUAAAUGCAAUCUAAGACAGAUCAUCUGUAGUGUUUGUAUAUAAUUUUGCUUGGUUUCUAAAUAAGGAGGAGGUGCAUAUAUUCUACUCCUCUCUACCCUUCACAUCAAUAAAAUUCAUUACCUGCCAUCACUGCAUACAGCGCUCUACACAGCACAACAUCUAUGACUCACAAUACUCAGCUAAAUGGUUUUACCGCUCCUAAAUGUCAAUGCAAGCAAACCAGAUAGACGGUUGUCUCAUUUUAUAUCAAGAGACACUGACUCCCAAUUGUUUUCAAACCCCUGGAGCAAGGGAAGAUUGUUGAAUUUUGCUGAAAACCAUCUGCUUGUUCUGAACAACAGGGGAUAAGAAACAUGCUGAGAAGUAAGCUCUCCUGAUAGCUAGCAUUGGCUUCUGAUUCUCUUGCCUUUAACGUUCCUUCUGGCAUCCCGUCUUUAGAGGAACCGCAUCCACAUGCCCCUGGGAGCUCAGACUUGUUGAUGAGUUGAUAUAUCUUUGUAUUAUUGUAUAUUGUUUGUAUUUACAUAAAAAUCUAAUCCGAAUCAGCAGGUUCUG
rnacentral:lncRNA from 1 species